AGUUUAUUGUAUACAGUAUCAGUGACAGAUCCAAACAAUGACACAGUCACGUGUGCUCUUACAAUACCAUCUACUAUAUACUACCUUCAGCCUGGAUCAGUACAAUUUGAAACUGAGAUAUGGGUCCUAGGUAAUCAAGGAUUUGUUUACGACACUCAAAGACAAUAUACGUUAAACAUAGAGUGUGCUGACCAGCGAGGAAGUGAUUCGGGAGAGUUUUACGUUUACAUUCUUCGAAACAUGCCUCCAUACUUCUCUAAUCUUCAAGAUAAAACUACUGUUUCGUCACAGACAUCAGCUGCUGGUCAGAUCAUUUAUACUGUAAAAAGUGUGGAUCCAGAGAGUGACAAUGUACAAUAUUCUUGGUCAUCUAACACUACAAAUACGCCUUUUACAAUCGAUC